UAAUUAAACACUAAUUACAAUUUAACGCAGAUUGACGCCAAGAAAUGAGAAAACAAAAUCCAGUCACAGCUCAGCUCAAAAACCGCCACCGUUUUUUUACAAAAUUCAGCAACCUUCCAUAUAAAUACCCGAAGUUUUGAUCUACGACAGUUUCGGUUUCCGAUCAUUCUGUGUGUCUCCAGCCAUGGCGUUGAGAUCCUCUGGUAGAAAGUUCUCCUUCAAUAUUCUAAGCGAUAGCAGCUCCGUUGAAGAAGAUGAAUGUCUUCUUUACCAAUCCAAUACGGAUCCGAUCGAGAAAGUUUCCGUUUCUCCGGAGAAGCCGAAUCGGAAAAAGAAGAGACAUAGAAAGAAGAAACUUCCCGAAUCGUACUCCAUGAUCCCUGAAGAUCCGAUCACAGACUCGGGCUUCACCGAUUCCAAUUCCGCUGUUCAGAACGGAAACGUGUUUUUGGAAAACCGAAGCAGUUUUGUUGGAGGUGGGAGUGUGGUGUGUACAGUGAGUGACGUGACGGAGGUUGCGGAGUGCCAAAGUGUGUUUAAUAACAGUGGUAGUGAGUUGAGGCAGAGGAAUGUGAGCAAUGGCGGAGGAGAAGGAGGAGGAGAGGAGAUGGUGUCGUCGUCUUCGCGGGUGGAGGAGAAUGGGACGGUGGAUAAAGAAGUGGAGGUGAGUUCGGCUGAGAAACAGUGGAGUCAGCCCAAUGGGAAUAUUGUUCCGACUGUGAAGUUAGAACCGGCGGAGUCAUUGGAUUGGAAACGGCUCAUGGCGGAGAAUCCUAAUUUUCUCUUUUCAGUGGAGACUUCACCGGUGAAGUACUUUAUGGAUGAAAUGUAUAAAGGAAAUUCAUUGAGGAGCACAACAACUCUUGGCAGUGAGAAGGAAAGGGAGAGGGUGUAUGAUACUAUCUUUCGCUUGCCGUGGAGAUGUGAAUUGCUCAUAGACGUCGGCUUCUUUGUAUGCUUGGAUUCAUUUCUAUCACUGUUAACUAUCAUGCCAACAAGGAUUCUAAUGACCCUUUGGAGGCUUCUAAGUGCAAGGCAGUUCAAGAAGCCUUCUGCAGCAGAGCUUUCUGAUGUUGGCUGCUUUCUUGUGUUGGCUUCAGGUGUUGCUCUUUUGGAGCGCACAGAUAUCAGCUUAAUAUAUCACAUGAUCCGUGGUCAAGGAACAAUCAAACUCUAUGUGGUUUACAAUGUUUUGGAGAUAUUUGAUAAACUAUGUCAAAGUUUUGGUGGAGAUGUGUUGCAGACUCUAUUUAACUCUGCGGAAGGGCUUGCUAGUUGUUCAGAAGAAAAUACAAGAUUCUGGAUUUGGAGAUUUAUCUCUGAUCAGGCUUUAGCUAUGGCCUUUUCAAUUCUUCAUUCUUUCAUUUUAUUAGCUCAGUCAAUCACUUUAUCAACUUGUAUUGUUGCUCAUAAUAAUGCCUUGCUGGCUUUGCUAGUUUCCAAUAACUUUGCUGAGAUUAAAAGCAAUGUCUUUAAACGUUUCAGUAAGGAUAAUAUUCACAAUCUGGUGUAUUCUGAUUCAGUUGAGAGAUUCCACAUUUCAGCAUUUCUAGUAUUUGUCUUAGCUCAAAAUAUUCUGGAAGCUGAGGGUCCUUGGUUUGAGAGUUUUCUUUUUAAUGCUUUGAUGGUUUUCAUCUGUGAGAUGUUAAUUGACAUCAUAAAGCAUUCAUUCCUUGCCAAAUUCAAUGACAUAAAGCCCAUCGCAUACUCUGAAUUUCUUGAAGAGCUUUGCAGCCAGACUUUGAAUACUCAAACUGAGGACAAGAAAAAAAACCUCACUUUUGUUCCUUUGGCUCCAGCUUGUGUGGUUAUCCGAGUGCUGACUCCAGUAUAUGCUGCUCACCUUCCUUACAGUCCUCUCCCAUGGAGGUUCUUUUGGAUCCUCCUCCUGUCUGCCAUGACCUAUGUCAUGCUUACAAGUCUGAAGGUGAUGAUUGGAAUGGCCCUACAAAAGCAUGCCACUUGGUACAUCAAUAGGUGCCAGAAGAGAAAACGCCAUCUUCACAAUGAUUAGAAGUUAAAAUAAGAAAACAGAACUACUUCAUAAGCAUCAAGGCCUGGUUUAUCUGACUGCUGAAGUUUUCCAGUAUUUUCCUGCUGGACGAAACAUCAACCGAUAACAUUUGCAAGAAGCCUCCUCCUGCAGUUGUUGGUCAUGUAAAAAAGGUGCAAAAAUAUUUUCGGAGAGCUUAAACUAAAGCUAGCCUGUUGGUCAGAGUUUCACAGGGGCGGUUGCUGGAUGAAAAAUGAUUUUCUGAUGGCUGCAAAUGGUGGUUCUCUCGGCCAUAUUUUGAACCUGGCAGCUGGUUUCAGGAAUGCAGAUUCCUAGGGUGGUUAAUUCUAGGAUGUUCUGUGAUUUCGACCAGCUUGCAUAUGACUAUGUUGUGCAUCAAACAUCUACAACAAUAAAAUUUGUGCGGUUUAUUAUGUUCAUAUCAUCUUUCAUUAUCAAUAAAAUAAUUAUUAAUUAUAAACUCAAA